rnacentral:tRNA from 1 species
GGCGGCAUGGUCAAGCGGUAAGGCAGAUGAUUGCAAAUCUUCCAUCCCUGGUUCGAAUCCAGGUGUCGCCU